GAUGAACGCUGGCGGCGUGCCUAAUACAUGCAAGUCGAGCGCACGGACGAGAAGCUUGCUUCACUGAUGUUAGCGGCGGACGGGUGAGUAACGCGUGGAUAACCUACCUAUAAGAGUGGGAUAACUUCGGGAAACCGUAGCUAAUACCGGAUAAAAAUUUGAACCACAUGGUUCAAAAUUGAAAGACGCUCUUGCUGUAACUUAUAGAUGUAUCCGCGCUGCAUAGGUUAGUUGGGAAGUUAAGGGCUUACCAAGGCAACGAAUCAUAGCCGACCUGAGAGGGUGAUCGGCCACACUGGAACUGAGACACGGUCCAGACUCCUACGGGAGGCAGCAGUAGGGAAUCUUCCGCAAUGGGCGAAAGCUUGACGGAGCACCGCCGCGUGAGUGAUGAAGGUCUUCGGAUCGUAAAACUCUGUUAUUAGGGAAGAACAUAUGUGUAAGUAACUGUGCACAUCUUGACGGUACCUAAUCAGAAAGCCACGGCUAACUACGUG
rnacentral:rRNA from 1 species